AAUAGAUACCCGGGUAGUCCAUGCCGUAAACGUUGGGAACUAGAUGUAGGGCCUGUUCCACGGGUUCUGUGUCGUAGCUAACGCAUUAAGUUCCCCGCCUGGGGAGUACGGCCGCAAGGCUAAAACUCAAAGGAAUUGACGGGGGCCCGCACAAGCGGCGGAGCAUGCGGAUUAAUUCGAUGCAACGCGAAGAACCUUACCAAGGCUUGACAUAUAGAAGAACACUGCAGAGAUGCAGGACUCUUUGGACACUUCUAUACAGGUGGUGCAUGGUUGUCGUCAGCUCGUGUCGUGAGAUGUUCGGUUAAGUCCGGCAACGAGCGCAACCCUCGUCCUAUGUUGCCAGCACGUAAUGGUGGGAACUCAUGGGAUACUGCCGUGGUCAACACGGAGGAAGGUGGGGAUGACGUCAAAUCAUCAUGCCCCUUAUGUCUUGGGCUUCACGCAUGCUACAAUGGCCGGUACAAAGGGCUGCGAUACCGCAAGGUGGAGCGAAUCCCAAAAAGCCGGUCUCAGUUCGGAUUG
rnacentral:rRNA from 1 species